AGAAGCUUAGGAUAAUAUCAAACCAAGAACCUUCAAAGUUCUAAAUAGGGAUUAGCCCCCUAGCUUCUG
rnacentral:tRNA from 1 species